AUGUGUGUGUGUGUGUGCUUUUGCGUCUGUGCUUGUCCCCCAUCACAGCUUGACAUCUAGUUUUCGUGUGCUUACGUUCCUGUAUCUGAACGGAUCGGCAAAAGAGAACGAUCGAAUAGAUACCAGGCUUGAAAAACAAGUAAGUACUGGGGUCGAUUCGUUCGACUAAGAUUCUUCGAGGCUGUGCUAGGGCAUUGCCACAGUCAAACGACUGAAAUAAGUAAAAGGAGAAAACAAAAAAAAAACUCAUGUCUCCUCCUCCUACUUCGCCUUUGCAAGCAAAUCAAGCGAGACGCUGCACGAAGAUAAAAACAAAAUUCUGUCUCUGAACGCCCCGAAGGCUGAAACUAGUUUUUAGUUGUGUAACACCAAAUUCAAGUAUAACAUUUAAUCAUUAACCAAAUAUCGUAAGAUCAGCGAAGUGUCGUUUGAUUUACCUCCAGUAAAAAUGUCAGAAAAUAGAAGCUCAAGCUCAACAAUUGACGACACAGAAAAAUCUUCUGUGUCACAGAAACACCUUCGUGUGGAAAUUGAAUACUGCCAAUCCUGAGGGGGUUGGAAACGGAUGGAAUCACUUCGUAAAGCCAUUUACAGAGAGUUUCCUGAAGCCAGAGUAAUGGAUACUGUUAGCAAGAAACGGGGUGCCUUUGAAGUUAGUAUCAAUGGAAAUUUGUUUUUCUCUCAUCUUGAGUCUUGUUGUUACCCCGACUCUGAUAAGGUC
rnacentral:lncRNA from 1 species